UCAACUACUUGUGUGCAAUGAACUACACUAGUCAACAGAUUCGAGUUGUCACAGGGACAUCGGAUUUUACAUGUGAGCAUGGCAAUCUGGAUCUUAAUUAUCCAUCAUUUAUCAUCAUCUUGAACAACAGCAACACUGCUAGCUUCACCUUCAAGAGGGUAUUGACAAAUGUAGCCGAUACCAGGUCAACUUAUACUGCAGCAGUGAAGGCUCCAGUGGGUAUGACAGUGACUGUGGAACCAGCAACAUUAUCCUUUGCGGGAAAGUUUAGCAAAGCUGAGUUCAAUUUGACUGUGAAAAUUAAUCUGGGAAAUGCUUUUAGUCCCAAAAGUAACUUUCUUGGAAAUUUUGGGUAUUUGACAUGGUAUGAAGUUAAAGGAAAGCAUACGGUGAGAAGCCCCAUUGUCUCUGCUUUUGCUAAUAAUUCUAGAGGAGUGACAAUAGUUGAAAAUAUAGCAUAGACAACAGUAGAAAGAAUUCAAGUAAUAAACGACUCUUGGCAAAUAGAAAUCCAUCUUAUGCAGAGUUUGUUAUUCGGACUUCCUGUUAAUGUUGUAAGAAAUGACUAGAUGCUUCAUAAUAGUCUUGAGAAUUUCGUCCAAAAUAUUUCAAGUAAGAAAUGUUUUAGGAAAAUAUUAAGGAAGGUUACUGUGAUAUUCAAUAUUUUUAGAAUAAUUUGGAUAUACUUAUAUUUUUGUCGAAAUGGCAGUAAAAGAGUUCUUUUUUUUUUUUUUUAACUUUACUAUUUGUAUCAUUAACGAUUUCAGAUCAUUUUGCAAACGAAUCAACCAAUAGUGGCUAAAUCUUAAGCUGCUGGCCAGCAAAAUGAAUUAAUGAAAAUAAACAUCAGACCUAGCCAUGAUCAGUCAAUUUAGCGUUUGAUUUAUUAUGUGUUUCAGUUGAAACAUCAUGUACAUACAUACACAUGCAGGCAAAGAAAGCUCCCACUUAUCAGGUGGAAAAACUGCAAAACUAGAAGACACUUGAAUUUACUUGCAGAUAAGACAAAGAAAGAGAUUGAUGUUUUUUCACAUUUCACGUGAGUCUUUAGAUUAUAUAUAAAUGAAUGGUUAGGAUUAAAUUAAUUAAAUAAAAAGUAACAUUUGUUUCUUCUAUUUAUUGUUUUUCUCUCCUCUACUUCCUUUUUUUUUUCUUGUUGGGUCUUCCGUCUCACUUUCCCUCUGUUCUUUAAUUUUUACCAUGACCAUAGACAAAGGGACGUGUGAUUUGAAUGUUUGUCGACGAGGGAACAAUCAAUUUUCAUAUUUCUUUAAAUUUUUAAGGUGAAAUAAACUUUAAUUUCAUUUGAUGACUCUGGUUUGGUAAAAAAUUGUGCAAGAGAAAUUUAUGCAAGUUCAAAGCAACUAUAAUAUAGUUAAGGGAAAUCAAGAGUAAUUAGGGGUGGCUUGAAGUAGAAAAGAAUAAGCCGAUUGCCUAAGGUCCCAAAUUUUAGGAAAACCUAUUAGAUAUCUCUCUAAUUAAUAAUUAACAUGUAAUUAGGAUUUUUUUAAAUUAAAACAAUUUGUAUUUGGUAACCUUAUUGUUAAAGCGAUAUAAUUAAUAAUAUUGUCUAACCAUUAAUUCAUUCAUUAUUAGUUUUUGCAAAAAAUAAAUAAAUUUUUUACCUUUUCGGUUUCUUAAAUAAGCUUAAUUAUUUAACAUUAGAAUUUUUGACUUUUAGCAUUUCUUUUAAUUUCUAUUAAAAACCUUAUAAUCUAAAAAAAAUCAUAGAUGAAAAAAUUUCUUACUCUACAAGGAAAAUUAUUACAUGCAUUAGUUCAUUCAAAAAAAAAAUUUCUUGAAAUACAAAGUUCAUAUCCAUUAUCUGAUCAUCAAUUUAUUAUCUUAACUUUAUAUAUGCUACUAUUCUAAAUAUUCUAUUUCAAAAUAGUAUUGUUCUCAUUUAUUUAUUUGUUUAUUUUUGUAAAACAUUUGAAGCAAGUAAAUUUUAGGUUUUUUUUUUUUUAAUUUUUUAGGAUCUUCUUGAUUAUUUGUUGAAAUUCAAAAAUAAAGAUGAAAUAAAUUUUGAGCUCUUUUAUUUAUUUAUUUUUUUGAGUUUUGAAGUUGUUAGAACAAAAAAAAGCCCCAUAAAAUAAGUUCACCUAAGGGCUUAGAUACUCUACGCUGGCCCAGAAAGAGUAAUGAGUAGAGGCGAGAGGAAAAAAAAAUGUAAAGAUGGCCAUGAAGAUCGUUGAAGAGAAAAAGAAGAUGAUUAAACAAAAUUAAUAGAAUAUUUAAUACGUCCCAUUAAUCUCCACCGUUCAUUUAUCUAUAAUCUAAAAACUCACAAGGAGUGUAAACAACAGUGUAAUUUUAAGCGGCCACUGAUAUGCCUUGAUAUAUGUAUAUUGAUCUCUCUUAAAAGAAAAAAGAAAUUGCAAUAAUAAUAAGAAUUAGCUAAUACAGUAAUCACUCCACAAACAAGUGUACAUGACUGCAAACAUUUUUGAGUAAGUUUUUUAAUAAGAAAUAAAAAGAAAAUUACAGAGUAUGCCUAAGCUUUUCUUCAAAUUUAUAUACUAUGAGCAACACUUUUUUACCUUCCUUGUUCUUUAAUUUAUAGUUCAACACUAUUAAUAUUUUUUUUCUUUUCCUUUUUUACAGAAGAAAGGCUCGAGAGAAGAAUAAGUAGGAAAGAGAGAAAUAAGGAAAAAUAUUAAAAGACAAAAAUAAGAGAGAAAAUAUAAUAGAAUGAAUAUAUAAUAUUUGGUGGGGGCUAAAAUUUAGUAAUUUUUCUUAAAAAAGAAAUCCACAUGUAUAAUAAUUUUAACCAUUGAAUUGAUUAGGAUUUAAAGGUUGAGAUUUUGUGUCAAAAUUUAUAGGAAAAAAAAAAAGACUCUCAAAUCCCAUCCCAUAAUGUUGUAGGAUGGGAAUUACUUUUAGGAGGCUCAAAAGUGACUUUAAAAAUUAAAGAUAAAAACUAAUUUUGAUAUUUGUAUUUUUUUUAAAUCACUUUAGUAAAAUCAUCUCAUGCUACAAUAGAUUUGAAAAGUAUGGAAUGAGUAACUUUCAAAAUCUGAUUUUGAGAUUUAGUUUUAUAUCUUAUAUGAUUUCAUAUAUAUCCUCAUAAAUAUUAUAAAAAUCCAAAAUUAUCCUUAUUAAUUAGGAAAUAAAAUUAUUAACUUUAAAGAGAUUUUUUGUAUUACCAAUUAUAUUGAGAUAACAAAAUAAAAAUAAAAAUAAAAUUAAUAGUAUAAAAUAUUUAUUUUAGUUAUCAAUUAUUUUAGAAACACAACAGAAAAAUAUUUUAUAUGCUUAUUUAUAAAUGUAUAAAUAAGUUUUAUUUAAUAUUAUAUCUAAUUCAGUCUUUUUUUUUUACAACAAUUUAAAAAUAUACAAGAUUCACCAAACAAAUAUGAUUGCUUUUAAUACUCACAAUACUUUUAAAAUUAAAUUUUAUCAAAUAUUUAAUUGAUUAACUUCACAACUGAUUAUUUUUACAACACAGACAAUAUCAAGUAUUUUCAAAGUUACGACAUAUGUAAACUGACCCUAAGAAAAAUAGCCCAAAAUAACUUUUAGAAAUUAGAUUUUUUGAUAAUAUAAUUUUAUAAUAUACAAUACCAAAAAUAACCUUAUUUGUUAUACAUAUUUUUGAAAAUACCCAUUAGGGUUGUUAAAAAUACCCACCCGGCUUGAAUCCAGGCAAGACCGGGGCAAUGUUGGCAAGGUACUACCCGACCUGGGAUGAGGGCUGGCCAGUCUUGGCCAUCAGUUGAUAAGCCCAAGGUCCAGCUUGGAACCUAAAUUUUAUAAAUAAAAAAUUAUUAAAUAUUAUAUUAUUUUAAAUAAUAUAUAUAUUUGACUCAUCUAUUACAUAUAUUUAAAACCUUAAACAUUUAAAGUUCAUAUUUUUAUGUCCAAGAUAGUUACGGUUUGGACUAACGACAAUGGAAGAUGUGCACAUUUGCAUAUAUCGGCCGUUGGCGUUGCAGCACCCAGAGGUCAAUCGCCGGCGUCGCAGGCUCGCAGCUCUCCACUUAAUGUUGACAGUAAUUGGUAAGGAUGUUCUGUUUAUUUUCUCUUUCGCCAAGUCACGAAACACUUUUAUCAUAAGGUUAAUUUUAAGAAAAAUAUGUCUAAUUGCACCUUGGAGCUGAUUAUGAGAGUGAUGUUGCCGGCAAAGCAGUCUUGUAUAUUUUAAAGCAUGCAAAAAAUGAAUCAAAUUUAGUGGAGUAUAAUCAAAUUUCCAUGUAUAAAUUAAUUAAUUUUCUUAUGCGCUGCAGUUUAGACAAAGUUUUGGGUUUCUUUGUUGGGGCUUUGUCUUUUUUGGUCUAUAAUGUGUAUUGUUAGUAAUCUGUUAUACACAUAUGAAGAAUGCUUGUUCAGAAUAACUAACUAGGCCACGUCACCAUGCCACAUCAGCUGAGUAAGUGAAUCUGCUGCAGUCAAGCAUAGCUAAAUAAGCUGCACUCGAAUCCUCUGUUCUUUAUAUUAAGCAGCUUCACUAACAUCAACAAUAUUUGAUUAUGAUUCUCCGAGAGAUUUCUUGGGUCAUGGAACUCAUAGAUCAUCAAUAAUAGCUGGCAUUUGUGUUCAAGAUGCUAAUUACUUCGGUUACGUAGGAGAAGCCAUGGGCGUUGCACCAAUGGCUAGGAUUGCAAUGUAUAAAACUCGGUACUACCAUGACACUCUUCAGGCAGCAGCUGUUGAUGUUUUGGCUGGCAUAGAUCAAGCCGUGGCUGAUGGUGUAGAUGUCAUGUCAUUGUCCUUCGGUUUCCCUGAAACCAUAUUUGACAUAAACCCAAUAGCCAUAGGAGCUUUUGCAGCCUUGAAGGAAGGAAUUUUUGAGGAAUGAAGCAAAUGCUACCUUCAUAUUUGUUGCGAACUUGUAAAUGAAAUGCUAAGGUGGGAAAACAAGUCGCUCAACAGCAGUAGAUUGAUCAAUUAAAUAAAUGAUCUUUCCGUUGAUGUUCAUUUUUGCAGCUAAACAUGUUACUGGUGUUGUGUGCCAUUUUCUUUCAGAUUUGAAAUUUGCUAAUUUAAGCUAUGAUUUUCUCUCUUGUAUUGAUCAUAUCAAAGCUUAGGCUAAUACGAAGAAAGCAUUGACUCCUUUCAGGCCAGAAUGAAGAAUCUGCUAAAGACUAGCUACAGGUUGUGCCUGCAAUUUUUUAGCAAUUUUAGUCCUUGAAUGAGAGAAGAGCAUCAACGUACAUUAGAAAAAUGAUAAUGCUCAAUGGAGACUGUUACUUCCGAUAAACGGCCUGCAAACACUGCUUAUCCUAUAAUGUAAAAUCAGCACUUAUUCACGGUAUCUUACCUCAUAUACUCAUGCUGUUUGUCUCUGGAAUCUGCUAUGCAUCAGCUUCUAAACAGGAUCAUUUUGAAACCCCACAUAAAUGAUAAACCUGACUCUGUUCUCGAGUGCGACUCCUUUAUCAUCUGUCUUUACACUUAAUAAGUUCUACUUUGACAAUGUAAGAGGGGUAUUGGAUUUAAAGUCCACUAUAUCAGUAUAAACCCACUUCAUUUAUUAGUCGUCUCUGAGUUAUUGAGCUAAUUAUAAAUCCUCGCGUUUCAUUAACAAGUAGUCUCUUUAGUGCUCAUUCUUUAGUAAUUCUCAAACCGUAUGUUUCUCUUCAAAUGACCUCGGGUAAAUUGGAUCAUAUAUAAAACAAAACCCAAUUUUCUAGUCAUCAUUUUUUGGAGUUGUUCAGCAGCUGUUUAUUGCUUUGUCCUUUAUUCUAAUAAUAAUAUAAAUGCAUUUGGAAAAUCAUCACUCACUUUCUUACCUGACGAUCCUCUUGCUCCGGUCAAAACAAAAGCUAGACAGUAGCUUUCAGUGCCAGAAUUAUUUGAGAAGCCUGCUUUUUGACUCAGCUCUUCACUUAAUGUUGACAGUAAUUGGUAAGGAUGUUCUGUUUAUUUUCUCUUUCGCCAAGUCAACGAAACACUUUUAUCAUAAGGUUAAUUUUAAGAAAAAUAUGUCUAAUUGCACCUUGGAGCUGAUUAUGAGAGUGAUGUUGCCGGCAAAGCAGUCUUGAAUAUUUUAAAGCAUGCAAAAAAUGAAUCAAAUUUCCAUGUAUGAAUUAAUUAAUUUUCUUAUGCGCUGCAGUUUAGACAAAGUUUUGGGUUUCUUUGUUGGGGCUUUGUCUUUUUUGGUCUAUAAUGUGUAUUGUUGUUCUGUGUUUUCAUUAAAUUAUUGUUGGAUAGCACUAAUGUUUGCUUUGAUAUAAACAGAAGCAGAUUUUACAAUUACGCUAUUACGAAUUUUUUAAACCUGAAAUUGCAACCCAAACUGUAAUUGAGUAUGACACGAACCCGAACCGAAUUUGAAACAGAAUCAAACGCAACCGAACUUGAAACUGAGCCUAACUAAAUCGAAAUAAAUUCUCUAACCCAAACGGGUAGCAAUUCGUAAAAUCGAACUGAAAAUUGAAAUGCCCACCCCUAUCGCUGGGUUUAUGAAACAUUAUGAUAAUAACUGAUUGCUUUGAAUUGUUCUAGUGUGUAAAGCAUUUUCAUUUACUUGUUGGAUAUUAAGAAAUAAUUAUGGUUUGUUUCUUCUGACAUUUAUUAGACCUUGCUUCAAUUGAUGUUUGCUUGAAUAGGUGGAGUUUUGACAACGAAAGAAGCAAGGCAGAUGCAAAUGCAAUAAAUCUAUGAUGGACUUGCAUCGAGCAACGGAAUUUCCUGCACUCUUUUAGUUUUUUAAUAAUGGUUGUUGUAAAUGGAAUUAGGAACCUGACCCGAAAUUAGCAACAAAAACUGUUCUGCAACCCAGACGGUGUUUGACCCCGAAUUAACAACCCGAAACUGAACAGAAUUACGAACCUGAAUCGAACCAAAAUAAAUUUUCAACCCGAAUUGAAUAUUGAUAUCAAUUAUCAUACUUUUCUUGGGAUCAGGCUACGGUGCAAUUGUGGUACCGUGACACAGUUGCAUCCAACCGUUGGAUGCACUUAAAUUGAUGGGGUCCACUGGCAUCCAACGGCUGGAUGCAACUGUGGCACGGUACCACAAUGGCACCACAGGUUUCCCCCUUUUCCUGAUGUGUGCUCUGAUGCAAUUAACAAGAGCUUCUUGUCGAAGCAUCAUCAUUUUUCUUUUUUGAUGAUAAUAUUUUUGACGUGUUUUCACAUUUCUAACAGGUUCAACCAAUUUGACUCCUUACUCUGCAACUUUGUUGAGUGGAUUUCUUGCUGUGAUAUCUGUAAAUAUAGUUAUUGCAUUUUACAUUUAUAUGGCAAUGAGGGAACCUUCAGACAAACGUGAGCCAGAUCAUAAAUUUCUUGCCGAGGCCAAAGCUAGUGUAACCCAGUCUACCGGUAAAGCUGAGGUUUCUUCUGAAUCCCUCAAGAAAGAAGUGUAGGAUACCAAAGCCUUGGCCAUUUCACCUUGAGAAAAUUUUCAACUGAAAACGUGCGACCAGGGCCCAUUGUUGAUUGGAUAAAGUUGAAAUAUGCUUGGUUGUCUAUGUUUCUAUAUUGUCAUGUCAGACUUUCAGUGUCAACACUACAAUUUUGUGAGAUGCAUGCAUGAUUUUGUGGUGAUAACUUAAUUCUUUUUUCUUUUGGGAACAGAACUUUAAUGUGGAUGAAGUGUCAGGGGAGGUGGAAUACUCGUAUAAUAAUAAUAACCUCAUAUGGUGCAAUUAUUGGAAACCAGCCAUGAUUAACGGAUGAGGAUACUCUUCUAUCACUUUAUUAGCUUCAAAAGUGCCUGCAGCCCACACUUUUUUUUUGUUUCAACUUAGAACAAUUUUUUUAAAAAAAAAUUAAAUGUGUUGAUGAGCUCUUGGUUCUAUUCGAUCUUGUGAAAAAUGGUAAUGUAAUGUUGGUCUUGAACCUUCAGUAAUGAAGAUUUAUUCGGGUGAUUGAUAGUUGAACUAUUACAAUUUGAUCAUUUGCAAUGGUUAGAAAAUUUGAGGUUCCAUUUUUGUUUAUCAAGGUUGGGAAAUGGUUUUUCAUUAUAAAUAUUUAAAACAAAUAAAUUGAAUAGUACAACUUCUCAGAGGUUCUCACUACAUGAAUUAUCCAAGAUUAUCCCCUCAAUGCUGCUAUAAUUAAGCUUGCCCCAAUCAUUAUACAUCUUUACAAAAUUUUAAAGAGAUCUAAAGGAUCUUUUUUCCUCAAAUUCCUCUUUGGCCUUAUUCUAUCAUCCCCCCUCUCCCCGUUCUACUUUUGGAAGACCCUGCGUUAUAUCACCAGGUCUCGAUUAUGGAAUUCAUGAAAUCCUAAUCAUUGCAAGUAACUUAUAAUGCAUGUUUCUGAUUCAUCCUUGGAGAAUUAUUAGAUAACCAAAAUUUUAAUGCAACUUUAAGCAUCAUUUGUUUAUUUUUAUGGUCAAUGGAAUAUUCAAUAAAUAAAUGUUUCACUACAUGAUCAUAUCACACUUCAUUCUUGAAAGAACCUUGGCUGACAGUAAUUAACAUAGAGAUUCAACAAAUAGUGUCGCCCGAUAAAUUUUUGAUAAUAUUGGAAUGCCAUAUUACUUUGGAAAGAUCCACUUGGAAGAAAUAUCUGUAAGCGGCUUGAAAAAUAGCAACUAACUAGUGAAAUAAAGGUAAAAACUUGGCAAGUCUAAUGAAAGUUCAGCAGCCAUAACAUCCACCUAAAUUUAUGAAUCCAUACGAAAAACAUUAGCUAACAACUUCACAUGAAUCCAUGAUUUACAAAAUUGAACUCGUUAAUCUUAAAAUUGUCACUAAACAGAUAAAGAGAGGCACAAACAUUCUCAAUCUGUUAUAUCAAAACUGAGUUUGGCCUCAUCCCGAGGACCGUUAAUCUCGAAUUUGUAUUCCUGAGUUCAUAUAAGCCAGUACGGACAAUCCACAUUCACAAAAACCAACAUACCUAAAAACAACACAAAAAGAGUAACCGAUGCAUAUGAACAUCAAGCUACAAGCUUCUUUCCUACCAUUUGGUUCUUAUGAAGUUUUAUUAGAUGGUGUUUGGGCAUAACAGUCCAACCGACAGAUCUAGAUUCAAAUGAAUGAAUGCCACGGAAAGUCGCCGAUGAGCUGGCUUAAAAACCUCAAUUUAUUGCCACUGUAUUCUAUUAUGAGGGUGAAAAGUCGAGGACGUGUAGGAUUGGGAUGUCUCUGUCUGUAUGUAUAAACUACACGCAUGUUGCUGGUGGGUCUAUGCAGAGAAUUAAUUGCUGCCACUGACUUGUUGUCUUUUGCCACCAAAUUUUUCAAUCAACUGACGAAUGCGGGAGCUUGGUAAAUUUCUAAUAAUAUUAAUUUGGUGGUCCAGCGCAGAAGAUAUUAACUUGUCAGAUGUAACCAAGUACUUCCUUAGUUUUCCCAAUUCUCUCCUAUUCAGAUAAGCGGGAAAAAAAAAAGAAAAAAGGCUCAUCAUAGUACAAAUCUACUAGGAGAGACGAUCAUGACAAGUUUAAAGAAUCCUAUCAAAAGUUUACAUAUGAAGACAAUCAUGCUCAAAUUUGUGGAUGAGUUGUUUGGGGGAUAAAAGAGGCAGCAUGAUUGAAUACGAUUUCGUGCAAAUCAUGCUCUCCUCGACAUUAGAGUUAACAGCUGGCCUCCUCGAGUUGUGAUUUAUAGAAGCUCCUAAGCAAUCUGCUUUAGUCAUUACGUUGCAGGUAGGUCGCUCUACAGUUUUUCUCGCACAAGGAUCUCACAAGGAGAGACCCAAACCAAGUCAACCUAAACACUCGGUCAUGAGUCAACUUGAGAAUUAUAGGGUCUAGUGAUGAGUAUAAUUUAUAUAUAUAUUUUAACUUUUAUUAUAUAAUUAUUAGUUAUUUUUAUUUAUUAUUUUUAAUUAAUUGAAUUAUUUUAUUGAAUAGGGGAUUAAUUGGAGAUUAUGGAUGAAAAGUGCAUAAAGAAUAAUAAUUAGACAUCAUUAAAGAUCAAAUCAAUUUGUGGAAGCAAUUAAGCAGAUGUGCAUGAUAUUCAAGAUGAAGAAACCGAAGCCAAUAAAUUAAAUCAGUCAUGCUCAUGCAAACCAAGAAGACGUUUAAAGCUAAAUGUCACGGGAUGAGUGUUUUGCGCAGCUAACCCGUGCGGCACUUAGACAACUUUGCCGAAUGUUGCUAAGUAAGCCUAGAGAUUCUCGAACAAGAGAAGAGAGAGCAAUUGAGCCAAAGAAACUUGUAUUGCACAAAGAGAGAUUACAAUGCUUGUUGGAUACAAAUGCCAAAUGCCAUCCCAUAUUUAUAGGGGAGGCUUUACCUAACUUUUGCCUAACUUUACCUAACUUUGCCUAACUUUGACAAACUUGGUCAAACUCUAGAAUAUUAUACAAUUUCCUAGCUAUUUACAUGUGCUGGAAUUGUAUUAGGUAUUCUAGAAUAUUUACAUGUUCACAUGUGCUAGAGUUGCCUAGAACCUUCCGGAAUUGGGCCAAGCUAGCACUCUUGGCCUUGUGUUGGCUCUCUAGCCCGAAAUUGUGGCCAAUUGGGCUAGCGAAUUGGGCGGUCCGUAACAUCCUCCCCCACUUAAGCUCGCGGCGUCCUCGUCGCGCUUUCGUGCAUGAAGUACUGGAUGUGCUCAGCGAAUUGCCACAAAUCAUCUUCCCGUUCCCAAGUGGCUUCGCUCUCGGGGAGGUUUUUCCACUUCACCAAGUACUCGCUAUGUGCUGGCACGCCCCUCCUCGAAACCGUUCGGUCCGCAAUGAUGUAGUCCACAUCUUUGUCGAAUGCGGUGACAACGGUAGUUGGCGCGCGCCUCGAUUCUCCGCGACUUGGUUCUCCCAUGUCUUCGUGAUAUGGCUUGAGAAGGCUCACAUGGAAGACCGGAUGGAUCUUGAGUCUUGGCGGAAGUUGGAGUUGAUACGAGACGUUGCCUACACGUCGAACAACUCGGAAGGGUCCCUCGUAGCGCCUCACUAACCCCUUGUGAACUUUCCGCAAAGUCUUGAAUUGUUGGGGUAGGAGCUUGAUCAUGACUUGAUCACCUUCCUUGUACUCAACAUGCCGUCUCCUUGUAUCCGCCCAUUUCUUCAUUUUCCUCGCGGCUUUGUCGAGGUAGGCUCGCGUGAUGUCCGCUUCCUCAUGCCAUUCGCGGGCGAGCUUGUGUGCCGCGGGGCUUUUCCCUCCGUAAGUCGAGGCUAUGGCAUUGGGGGUCAUGGGCUGGAAUCCCAUGAUGAUCUCGAAUGGACUCUUGCCCGUAGCCUCGCUUCGCUGCAAGUUAUAAGAAAAUUGGGCGAUGUCGAGUAGCUUCGCCCAAUCCCGCUGGUGUGCGCUCACAUAAUGCCUCAGGUACAUCUCGAGGAGGCCAUUAAUGCGCUCGGUCUGCCCAUCCGUUUGUGGGUGGAAGCUUGUCGAGAACUUGAGAUCGGUCCCCAACAUCUUGAAGAGCUCCGUCCAAAAACGCCCAGUGAACCGAGGGUCUCGGUCGCUCACAAUGCUCUUCGGAACUCCCCAAAGCUUCACAAUGUGCUUGACGAAUAGGCGGGCUGCCUCAUCCGCUUUGCAAUCGACGGGUGCGGCAAUGAAUGUAGCAUACUUGCUGUAUCGGUCGACAACGACCAUGAUGCUACCGCAACCUUCGGACUUGGGCAGCGAUGUGAUGAAGUCCAUGGAGACACUCUCCCAUGGCCUUGUUGCUAGUGGUAGCGGCUCUAACAAUCCCGCUGGAAGUUGAUGAUCCACCUUGUCUUGUUGGCACACAAGACAAGUUCGCACAUAUGCCUCGAUGUCGUCCCUCAUGUGCGGCCAGAAAUACGAGGCUUGGACUAGUGCGGUGGUGCGCUCAAUUCCUGGGUGACCAGCCCACUUGGAGUCGUGGCACUCCUUGAUUACUUCCUUCCGUAAAUUUCCCCACCUUGGCACGAACAGCCGAUCUCCCUUGGUGAGGAGGAUGCCUUCCUCUUGCCAAAACCGCCUUGUCUUUCCCUCGAGCACCUUCUCCAGCAAAUCCUUUGCUAGCGGAUCUUGUUGGAGGCCUUCCUUGAUGCGUAAGACAAGGUCAGACUUCGGUUGGCUCAUGCUAAGUGUCGCCAAUUCGGCCUUGCGGCUUAGAGCGUCCGCAACGACAUUGGCUUUCCCCGGUUUGUACUCCAGCCGAUAGUCGAAUUCCGCAAGGAAAUCUUGCCACCGUGCUUGCUUCGGACUCAACUUCUUCUGAGUUUGAAAGUAGCUUGUCGCCACGUUAUCCGUCAUAAUCGUGAAGUGCGAGCCAAGCAAGUAAUGUCGCCACACCCGCAAGCAAUGUAUGAUUGCGGUCAUCUCCUUCUCUUGCACCGUGUAACGGCGUUCCGUGUCAUUUAGCUUUCGACUCUCGAACGCUAUUGGGUGGCCUUCUUGCAUAAGGACUCCACCUAUGGCGAAAUCCGAGGCAUCCGUUUGAACUUCAAAGGGCUUGGUGUGGUCCGGAAGAGCGAGGACUGGUUCCUCCGAAAUUGCCUUCUUCAACUUCUCGAAGGCACGUUGGCACUCUUCGGACCAAUGCCAUGUUCUGUUUUUCUUGAGCAUAUCCGUUAAAGGUGCCGCCUUAGCUGAAUAGCCCUUGAUGAAGCGGCGGUAGUAAUUCACCAGUCCAAGGAAUGAGCGAAGUUCGGGUACUUUCGAGGGAGGCUCCCAAUCGAGGAUGGCCUUUACUUUGUCAUUCUCCAUCAUGAUCUUCCCGCCCGCAAUCUUGUGGCCAAGGAACUCCACCUCUUGUUGGGCAAACGAGCACUUCUCUAGUUUGAGGAAGAGCUCAUUGUCUCGAAGUACUUGGAGGACUUGUUGCAAGUGUUGGGCAUGCUCCUCGAGCGUGGUGCUAUACACCACUAUGUCAUCCAAGUACACGACCACGAAGCGGUCGAGGAAUGGUUGGAGCACCUUGUUCAUGAGUGUGCAAAAUGUGGCGGGUGCAUUAGUAAGGCCAAAAGGCAUCACAAGGAAUUCGAAAGACCCGUACCUUGUUGUGCACGCUGUCUUUUGUUCAUCUCCCUUGGCGAUGCGUACUUGGUAGUACCCGGAGCGCAAGUCAAGUUUGGUGAAGUACCGCGCUUUACCAAGCUGGUCGAACAAGUCCGCAAUCAAGGGAAUCGGAUACUUGUUCUUGAUGGUGAUCUUGUUGAGCGCUCUAUAGUCGAUGCACAUCCGCAGCGAUCCAUCCUUUUUCUUUUGGAAGAGGACCGGGGCACCGAAUGGGGCCUUUGAGGGGCGAAUAUAGCCUGCGUCCAGUAAGUCUUUGAGUUGUCUCCGCAACUCCUCUAAUUCGGGUGGCGCCAUGCGGUAGGGCGCCAAGGCUGGUGGCUUCGCGCCUUGUUCCAGCUCGAUCGCAUGAUCCACCUCUCGCAGAGGUGGGAGCUUCUUCGGAAGUUCUGGAGGCAUCACGUCCUUGUACUUAUUGAGGACGGCUUGAAUUUGCUGAGGGACUUGGCUUGGCGAAGUUCCGCUAUUUCCUUCCUCAUUUAGUUCCCGAAUGGAGACUAAGAAGCUUGGGUCCUUCUUGAAAGCCUUCUUGAAUUGCAUGGCGGAGAGUGUCUUCUCUUCGGACUUGCCUCGUUCCGUGGGAACCAUGCAUGCCUUACUCCCGUCGAGGAUACUUAGGGAGUUUGUAGCGGGCAGCGGGAAGGCAUGGACUUGGUCGAAGAAUUCCAUGCCGAGGACCAUCUUGAAGUCAUCCAUGGGCACAAUGGAGAAGUCAAGCUUUCCGCUCCACGUACCGAGUGUGAUGUGCAUGCCUUGUGCAAUUCCCGCAAUUGGCUUGGCGGGUGAGUUCACAGCCUUCAUUGUGCCUCCUUCCUUGGUGGCCUUGAGGCCUAAGCGCUUGGCCUCGUCUACGGACACAAAAUUGUGUGUUGCUCCCGUGUCUAGCAGCGCGCGAACGGACUGACCGUUUACCUUUGCGCUUACAUACAUGAGCCCUUUCUUGACAAGUGCGGGCUGUUGGCGAUUGAGUGCGCCGAGGCGUUGGAGAGAACCCAUGCUGAGUUGGGGUUCCUCCGUGGACAUUGUGGGGUUGCUCUUGAGUUGGGCAGCAAGAGCAUUAAGCGACCUCUUCUCCGGACAGUCGCGCACCCAAUGAGGACCAUUGCAUAUGAAGCAUGGGCUUCGCGGCUUUGGCGCCUCCUUCUUGCCCUCCGAUUUUCCUUGCCAACUCUUGUUGCUAGGCGGCUUUUUCUGCCCCCAAUCUUUGCGGUUGUUGCCCUUGUCCUUGCGACUCUCUCCCCCACCUUUGCCUUGGUUGGCCUUUUUGUCCUUGGAUUGGGUAGAGUAUUCAGUGAGCGACUCCGCAACGGCAAUGGCGUCGUCAAGUGUUUGAACACCACGCCUAUCAAGCUCGGUCUUGGCCCAAUCCUUGAGGCCAUCUUGGAAGUAGAAGAGUGAAUCCUUGUCGGACAUGUCGCUUAUCUCCAACAUGAGGGUAGUGAACUCGUUGAUGUAGUCCCGAAUGCUACCCGAUUGCUUGAGGCGACGUAAGCGCACUCGCGCUUCUUUCUCCGCAUUGCUUGGGGCGAACUGCUUUCGGAGUUCUUGCUUGAAGUCGGCCCAAGUGUCGAUGGUGCAAAUGCCCUUGCCCAUCUCGCCAUGCUUGCGACGCCACCAUAGUUGUGCAGCGCCUCUAAGAUAGGUAGGUGCAGUGCCCACUUUCGAUGCCUCAUCUCGGACACCCAUGGCAUCGAAGUAUUGAUCCAGCCCAAAGAGGAAAUUGUCCACGAUGGUGGCAUUGCGUGUGCCAUCGUAGGUGUCGGGCUUUGGCACGUCAAUGCGGCGCGCAUCACUCGAGUUUGCGGAAGCUGGACUUGUGGAGAGUGUGCGCUUGUGCCAUGCCCAAUCCGAGCGGACUUCAUCCACUUCCGCACGGACAGCACGUAGUUCGUCCUGAACAAAACUACGAAGUUUGAGCAACUCAUCAUGGAAAGAACGAAACUCACCUCGGAGAAUGUUUGCUUGCUCAUGGAUGAGAGCUUUUGUGGCCACCGUGAACUCGGCGUAUUCUCCCUCGAGACCAUCCACUCUUUCCUCCAAUCCCACGAGGCUAUCUUGAGUGGCGGACAAUGCUAUUUCGAGAGUGCCUACACGAGGCUCCAACGCAUCCACGGAUAGGGCCUUGGACUUGCCGCGAGUCUUGCCUUGGGCGCGUUCUCCCUCUCGGCCGCGGCUUGGUUCCGGUGGAACAUCCACACCAACAACACCCUCUUGUGCUACGUUCGAAGGGUUGGCCAUUGCUUCGUGAGCUAAUUUGCGUGCGUGCAAACCUUAGCUCUGAUACCACUUGUCACGGGAUGAGUGUUUUGCGCAGCUAACCCGUGCGGCACUUAGACAACUUUGCCGAAUGUUGCUAAGUAAGCCUAGAGAUUCUCGAACAAGAGAAGAGAGAGCAAUUGAGCCAAAGAAACUUGUAUUGCACAAAGAGAGAUUACAAUGCUUGUUGGAUACAAAUGCCAAAUGCCAUCCCAUAUUUAUAGGGGAGGCUUUACCUAACUUUUGCCUAACUUUACCUAACUUUGCCUAACUUUGACAAACUUGGUCAAACUCUAGAAUAUUAUACAAUUUCCUAGCUAUUUACAUGUGCUGGAAUUGUAUUAGGUAUUCUAGAAUAUUUACAUGUUCACAUGUGCUAGAGUUGCCUAGAACCUUCCGGAAUUGGGCCAAGCUAGCACUCUUGGCCUUGUGUUGGCUCUCUAGCCCGAAAUUGUGGCCAAUUGGGCUAGCGAAUUGGGCGGUCCGUAACAUAAAGCUCUAAAAGACAUUAUUAAUUGGCCAUGUGCUUUUAAGUCAAACAAGUGGCUUGCUUUCAAACAUUAAUGAGGAAACAAUUAAAAAUAGGCUUGGUGAGCAGGUGAGUGAAGCUAAAACAAAUUAAAAGGCCAAACCUUUUGAUUUUAGAGUUGGAAAAGUCGGUGGGGCUCAUUUUAAAGACUAAAGAUGCGUUUCAGAUUGAUGUGUUGUAGCUUAAAAGUUACAGUUGUUGUGGAAAAAAAGUUGUGACUAUGAAAUAAAAAUUAAUAAUAUGUAGUAAAUAUAAAUUUUAAAUAAUAAUUUUGACAAAAUUAUUAAAGAUAUAAUAGAUUUUUCAUUAUACAAGUGAAAAAUUAUAUUAACAUAUCUUCCAAAUUACAGCAGCUAGUGUCUUCCAAACACUUUAGUACUGUACUUUAAAAGCUACAGCUACCUAACCUCAAUCUCAAACGCACCAUAAAUAUAAAAGCAAGCUUUUGGCUUUUGGAGAAGGGGAGCAGCCGCCAGGAAGAAAAAGAAGCAGACGCGAUUCGGGAGAGAUAGGAGCGGCAACAACUGUUCAAUUUUUCCCAUGGCUGGGUUUAUUUUAUUUGUUGCUCCCAAUUCAAGUAUGUCUAGCUAAUUUUCUUAUACUGAGGUUAAGGAUGAAACAAUAUUUAAUGAAAUAAUUAUCCUUUUAUUUAAUUAAUUCCCUAUAUAUGUGCUUUAAUGUUUAUGGUUCUUGUUUCACAUGAUUAAUUGGAUGUUAUUAAAAUCUUUUCAUCAAUUCUGUCAUGCAUUAUUGAUUGUUAGGAUUAAUAUUCAAUUAAAUCUAUGCUUGGAUCUAUAAAGUUUAUACAUGAUUAUCUUUGAUUUUAUGUCUUUCAUUAAAUUGUUUACAUAGAGUGCUUAGGAAAACUUUGACUCUCUGUUAUUCAAUAUGUUUAAAUGGGACGCUUAGAUGUCAUACUAUUAAGUAGAAAAAGAACCUACAUUAUAUUUAAUUACUUGGGUUUAAUUGUUAUAUUCAUGAGAUGAUAUAGAUUGAUUUCGAGUUGUCACUCUAAAAUUGGAGAUUAAUUAAUAAUUAGAUAAUUAUUAGUUGAAUAGUGGUGGAUUCUGAAACCUUGGUAAUUUUGUCUUAUUGAAUUCUCAUUUGCUUUAAUUGUUUUCUUAGUUUAAUUAGUUUAAUUUUCUUUAAAAAAACUCAAUUUGCCCAACUAGGUUAGGAUUAAUAUUUAUUUUAGAUUUAAAUUAGACUUUUCAAUUCGUAACGAUCUAUGUAGGUUUAACCUCGUUACCAUUAUUCUAUCUCUAAAUUCUUGCGCUUGCGAGUAUAUCAAAAAUUUUCACAACAUCUGGGUCCUCUAUAAGAACUCUAGAAAAUUUAAAAUCAAGUAAGUUUUCUCUUACUCACAGGACCUCUGGACUUUCUCUCUUUGCCAACUUUUUCUCAUAUUUACUUUAAAAGUAAUUUUCGAAAGCAUUUGGAAUUAAGUCACAAGAGCUGUGGCAUAAGUUUUUCCUAAAAGCCCUAAUUUUUUACUUGAACGUCAAAGAGUUCACGCUGGAAGACACAUCUAAUGUCCCACUAACUGUUUUUGUGAACGCAAGUGUAUUUCAAGUGCUCGUGGUUGCUUGCAUUUGCUCGAAGAAAGGAAGUGCGAGCAAGUAUCGUCUCCCAUAAAAACAAAUUUAAGUAUUGGUGUAGACACCUGCUCGCAACAACAUGGACCAGAUUUUUGCAUCUAACAUGAGUCAUAGAAAAUAAAACUGUUUGGGAGAGAUACUGUUUGUGAUAAAUACGUCGACGAGACCAGGAAUGACGAGCAGAUAUCUGAUGGCGGAGUUCUGCGAACCGGUGUGUUCCGUAAAAGCCUGGUGCGCGGAAGAACAGGAGCAGAAAUAUCCUGCUCGUCCACGAUGUUGUCAUCCGCGAGGCCAAUUCCCUAUAAAAGGCAUAAGGCCACUCCGGCUAGAGGUCAAGAGGCGAGGAGACCCGGUCGACGGCAGUUGGCAAGACGUGCUCUCCAGCACGAGAAUCUAGGCACAACAGCCACGCUUUCCCCAGAACCGUGGCGUAACACGCAAGAUCUCACAGAACCAUGACAGCCACGCUUUCCCCAGAACCGUGGCGUAACACGCAAAGUCUCACAGAGCCAUGACAGCCACGCUUUCCCCUGCACCGUGGCGUAACACGCUAGAUCCCACGUUUGCCCAUAACGCAGCAGUUGGAGUCCCAUACCGUCGGGAAAAGGGCGGAAGACUGAGAUUCAGAGGAAGCCUAUAAAAAGGUAGCCAACGAAGGUAAAAGGGUUGGCAUUUUUGAGAUAGAAGAAAAAAACCACGAAAAAGCCAUAAGACCUGUGGCAAGCGUUCCUUGAACCUUCAUAUCUGACUUGAGCGUCGGAGGGUUUGCGCCGGGGGAACAACCGGCGUACUCUGACUUGUCUGUUUGUGCAGGGACAUCCGGAGAAGAAGCAUUACUAGGAGACCUCCUGGUCGUGGUGAAGUUGAUCGAGCAGAGAUCCUGGUCGUGGAACGAGGAGAACCGGAAUCUCGCAUCAACAUUUUGGCGCCGUCUGUGGGGAACCAGAGCAAAAAGCUUCUGUCGAUAGCAAGAAGAGGGGUGGAGUAAGCGAAAGGCAAUGGAGAUAGGAGGAAGUAGCGCACAAGGGGGUGACAUGAGGCUUAACGAUUCCGUGACGCUGAGGGAGGUAAUCAGCGAAGCACGGGAAAAAGUCAUGUUCGACCGAAUGGAACGAAUGGAAAAGCAGAUGGAAACCUUGACAACCAUCCUGCAUGAGCUGCGGAACGAGCAUAGAGUAACCCAAGAGGGAAGGGUGAGAGGCGGUGGAGCGGCACCAGGUCCCGAUAGUGCGGGGAGAAGUCAAACCGCAGGGAGAUUUGGUGGUGAGAGAGGUAACGUACCCCUGCGGGGAGAAUUUCAUAGAGAAAUAGAGCAGUCCCCGGCAAGACAGACUUGUGACGAGGGCGACGGGGUGGUGAAUGCAGAGGAAACAGAGCUGAGGCAACACUUGCAUGAUGUAGAGCGAGAGCGGGAUCAAGUCGCAGCACGUGACCCUGGUCGUGCAGGGCAGCUGAAGGAGGAAGUGCGAAGGCUAGCGCAAAUAAUUGACGACAUGCAAGGGAGGAACAGAGCCCCUGGUUGGAGGAUAAUGCUGGACGGAGAAUCACCGCUCGCAGCAGAGAUCAUGAGGGCAGUUAUUCCGAGAGAUUUCCGCCUCCCCGACCUCAGAUACUCGGGAAGAACUGAUCCGCUGAUGCACAUAGAGCGCUUCAACGACAUGACGGGGGUACAGGGAUUAUCUCCAUCCCAAAGGUGCAGGGUGUUCCCACUAUCCCUUGAGGGACGUGCACGAGAAUGGUACAGGAAACUUCCUCGGGGCAGCAUUAAAACCUUCGAGCAGAUGUGCCAGGAAUUCGCAGAGCAGUUUAGUGGGGCAAUGUCACCGGAAGAUGACAUGAUGGAGCUGAAAAGCAUGAAACAGGGGGAGCAAGAAACCCUUCGGGAAUUCAUCAAGAGGUUUCAUCGGGCCGUCCUCGACUUGGGAGCCUUCAACCACCCUCAGGCGUUAAGGGGAUUGAAAGAAGGGGUGAAGAUAGGAAGGCUGUGGUACAAUUUGAGAAGCCCAGCUAUUCAAACGUAUGCAGCCGCAUACGAACAGGCUAAAAGAGACAUCGAGAUUGAGGAGGAGAAGACUGCACGGAUCAAGACAGACCAGUUGGAAGGGUUAGGGAGGAAAGAGAAGAAAGCAUUACCGGGGAAUGGGCCGAUCAGGAGGAGGGACCACCAGGUCUCCGAUAGUGGAUCAGGAGGUAGGAUGAUUGCUUAUCAGCCUCAUCAGAGGCCGCCACAGUAUCAGCGCAGCAGGGCGCCACCUCCUCGUUCCCCAGCUAGGGAGCCUUGGAGAAGGCAUGAUUCGGCAUCCGGUGGUCUUCAUCAACAUUCCCACGGUAACAGGACGAGCAGACCAGAAGCACUUCCACCGCCCCCAACCCACAGUGGGGCAAACAGAGAAAGAGCAGUGCAUCUGGUCGACCAGAACCAGGACUAUGGGCGGUACACUCCCUUGAGGAUGCCCCUGGAUGAGGUGUACGAGGCCAUAAAGGAUCGAGGGCUGCUGCACCUCCCUACACCGAUAACCAAGCUGCCCAACAGAAGGGAUAGAGGACGUUAUUGUAAGUUCCAUGGCACCCAUGGCCAUACCACAGCAGAGUGUAGAGAUCUCAAGACCCAGGUCGAAGAUCUGGUGAGAAAUCGGUACCUGGACGAGUUUAUGGAUGGGACUUUUCCGAUGGUGGCCACAACAGAUGAAGGGGAGCAGAGUGAUAGAAUCUUGAGACGCGAGCAGCCCGCAGUAAGGGUGAUAGCUGGGGGCCCAACGUUGGCCGGAGAUUCGAACAGAUCGAGAAAAAAUUAUGCCAGAUACGCCAUGACCAGUAAAGAGAUACUCUUCAACACCCCAGCAGCCAAACGAGUAAGGGUCAGGCAAGUGCCAAUCAUGUGGACGGAUGAGGAUGAGGAAGGGAUUCUAUACCCCCACGAGGAUGCUUUAGUCAUCAAGGCUACGGUCGCUAGCAAGAAGUUUGACCGGAUACUGAUUGAUACGGGGAGCUCAGUUGAUGUGUUAUUUAAGUCAACUUUGGAACAGAUGGGAAUAGCCGACCGGAAGUUGGAAUACACCAACACCUCCUUGAAGGGGUUCGGAGGAGGGAAGCUGGUCCCUCUGGGCGUGGUCGAACUGCCUAUCACAAUCGGGAGCCCCCCGACAGAAAGAACAAUGAUACUGGACUUCGUCGUAGUGGAUGAGGAAGGUCCUUACCAGAUGAUCCUAGGUCGGCCAUUUUUAAGGAUGAGCAAAGCGGUGUUGUCCAACCAUUAUCUGGCUCUGAAGUACCGGGUGAAUGGGGUAGUCGGAGUGGUACGAGGAGACCAGAGGAUCGCAAGAAGCUGCUACUCCUCGGCAGCAAGGGAGGCGAUGCAGAUAACAUCCCUCGAUACCCGAGUGGAAAACAAGCCUGGCAGACAAGAACCCGUAGAGGAUCUGGAGACAGUAAGCAUGGGACCAGAGAACCCGGGAAAGACGAUCAGAAUCGGGUCGAGACUUAAGGGAGAGCAAAAGCGGGAGUUGGUGAAAUGCUUACAGGCUCAUGCUGACGUGUUUGCCUGGACACAUGAAGACAUGCUAGGGAUUGACCCAGAGGUAGCAUGUCAUAAGCUGGCAAUAAAGAAAGGUGCUCGAGCGGUAAGGCAGAAGAGGAGGUGCUUCAACCAGGAGAGGUAUGAGGCUGUAAAUGAUGAGGUGGAGAAGCUUCUGAGAGCAGGGUUCAUUCGGGAAGUCAAUUACCCAGAGUGGAUAUCAAAUGUGGUGUUGGUAAAGAAGGCAAACGGCAAGUGGAGGAUGUGUGUGGAUUUCACAGACCUCAAUAAGGCGUGCCCAAAAGACAGCUUCCCUUUACCAAAGAUCGAUCAGCUAGUAGAUUCGACGGCUGGACAUGGUCUGCUUAGCUUCAUGGACGCAUUCUCGGGAUACAACCAGAUCCCCAUGUACGAGUCGGAUGAGGAGAGCACGGCUUUCAUCACUAACCAAGGUUUGUUCUGUUACAGGGUGAUGCCAUUCGGUCUCAAGAAUGCUGGGGCCACCUAUCAAAGGCUGGUGAAUAAAGUCUUUAAGCCCUUGAUCGGGAAAACCAUGGAGGUGUACGUGGACGACAUGAUCACCAAGUCCAAAAUCCCGAAGGAACAUGUCAGACAUCUCGAGGAGACGUUCGAGCUUUUGAGGAAGUAUAAGAUGAAGCUCAACCCGGAGAAGUGUGCUUUUGGGGUCGAGUCAGGGAAAUUCUUGGGAUUCAUGGUGAGCCAUAGGGGGAUUGAAGCAAAUCCCGAGAAGAUCCAGGCGAUUGUGCAAAUGACGUCUCCUCGAAACCUGAAGGAGAUGCAGAGCCUCACGGGGAGGUUGGCGGCGUUGAGCAGAUUCAUAUCCAAGGCUACAGAUAAGUGUCAGCCAUUCUUUCAAGUGAUAAGGAGGGGAAAGAAAACGGAAUGGACCCCGGAAUGCGAGGAAGCCUUCCGGAACUUGAAGCAAUACUUGCAGCAAGCUCCGCUACUGUCCACACCGAGGGAUGGGGACAAGUUGAAUCUGUAUUUGGCGGUAUCGGAUCGGGCCGCCAGUUCCGUUCUGGUGAGAGAGGAAGAAGGAGUUCAGUAUCCGAUAUACUACACCAGCAAGGCCCUGCUCGACGCUGAGACCAGAUACCCACCGUUGGAAAAAUGGGCACUUGCCCUUGUGGUUGCUGCUCGGAAGUUGAGGCCAUACUUUCAAGCAUUCCCGGUCUCGGUAAUAACCAACCAGCCAUUGCGUCAAAUUCUGCACAAGCCAGAUGCCUCUGGUCGGCUCGUCAAGUGGGCUGUAGAGCUGAGCGAAUUCGACAUAGACUAUAAACCCCGCGCGGCGAUAAAGGCCCAGGCAAUGGCCGAUUUUGUAGCUGAGUUCGUAGAGCCCGAAGUAUGCUUAGAUCAACAAGGUGCAGAUAUAGGCGACGACGAAACUCAAGUAUGGCAGAUAUCUGUGGAUGGGUCAUCAGGAGAGCGGGGUUCAGGAGCAGGGAUUGUCCUGGAAGGCCCAGAGGGGGAGGAGAUCUCUUAUGCUGUAAAGUUGGAAUUUACAGCCACAAAUAACCAGGCAGAAUAUGAAGCCUUGAUAGCGGGUCUGGAAUUGGCUAGGGUCGUGAAAGCAGACAGAGUUAAGAUCAGAACUGAUUCCCAGCUGGUUGCGAAUCAUGUCAGUGAAAGAUUCCAACCAAGAGAGGAGAAGAUGGAACAGUACCUAAAGAUAGUCAGGCAGAUGAUGGGGAAGUUCAAAGCAGUGGAGGUGAUACAAAUCCCCAGGGAGCAGAACAGUCGAGCAGACAUUUUGGCUAGGAUGGCAGCCGUAGCCGACCCAAAAAUGCCAAAGUCGGUCCCCCUAGAAGUGAAGUCUCACCCAAGUAUCGAGCAAAAUUUGGGGGUGUUGCGGAUAGAGCAAAAAGGCUCGUGGAGGGACCCGAUAGUUUCAUACCUUAGAGACGGGGUCGUACCACCAGAUAAGCUGCGAGCUCGGAAGAUUAGAGCUCAGGCCUCGAGAUACACGAUGAUCGAUGGGGUACUGUAUCGGCGAGGAUAUACAUUACCGUUCCUUCGGUGUUUGGACGAUGACGACGCAGAUUACGUGCUGAGGGAAGUACAUGAAGGAAUUUGCGGAAAUCAUUCUGGCGGGAGGUCCCUGGCCCACAAGGUUCUAAGACAGGGAUAUUUCUGGCCGACGAUGCACCAGGAUGCGCAAAGGAAGACCAGGAGCUGUGCAAGCUGCCAGAGUUUUGCAAACUUCUCUAACCAACCACCAGAGAAGCUCACCUCCAUGGCCUCCCCUUGGCCAUUCGCUCAAUGGAGAAUUGAUCUGAUCGGCCCAUUGCCAAAGGGACGAGGAGCAGCAACACAUGCAAUAGUUGCUAUAGAUUACUUCACGAAGUGGAUAGAGGUAGAAGCCCUUAGCAGGAUCACAGAGAAGAAAACAACAGACUUCGUGUGGAGAAACCUGGUCUGUCGAUACGGGAUCCCAUAUGCCCUGGUAACGGAUAAUGGCAGGCAGUUCGAUAAUCACAGCUUCAGGGAUUUCUGCCAGAACCUCGGGAUAGAACUGAAGUAUUGCUCGCCUGCUCACCCUCAAUCGAAUGGACAAGUAGAAGCAGCCAACAAGACCGUCAAGAGGCUUCUGAAAACCAGGCUCGGAGCAAAAAAAGGUGCGUGGGUUGACGAGCUGUCAGGUGUGCUAUGGGCAUACAGAACAACCCACAAGACCGCAACUGGGGAGACACCGUUCGCUUUGGCUUUCGGACAUGAAGCGGUCGUGCCGGCUGAGAUAGGAACGACCACACACCGGACAGAGCACUUCAAUGAGCAGGAGAACGACGAGCAGAUAUGUUUGAAUCUUGAUCUGCUAAUGGAGAGGAGGGAACAAGCAGCCGAGCGAUCAGUCACUUACCAACAGAGGGUUGCUCGGUAUUAUAACCAGAAGGUGAACAUACGGCAAUUCAGGGUCGGAGACUGGGUACUGAGAAGAGUGAAUCAGAGCACCAAAGAUUCGACUCAAGGAGUGCUGGGACCGAAUUGGGAAGGGCCGUAUAGAGUCAAGCAGAUAGCGGGACCCGGAGCUUACAAGCUGGUUCGCGCGGACGGCCACGAAGUGAAACGCCCAUGGAACGCAGCACACCUCCGGAAAUACUUCCAGUAAGACUCGUUCACAUUUGAAAGCUGUUUUUGCUCAUGUUCAUUAUCGUUUAUUUUUCACGUUUUAUGUCCGAAUAAUUUCAUGUAAGUCAAAUCCUGCCAUUAAUGGAACGUCGACGAAUUUCAUUCGUUUGAAACCAAAAAAAUCCUAUGGCAUGCAAAGGCUCGCCAAGUCUCAGAGCCUGUCUUAUGGCGAGACAGAAGCCAAGCAUGCCAGGAUCUGCUCGGCCACGAGAAGGCAGCAGAAUCCAAAUCGUUUGAAGAAAAUCCUAUGGCAUGCAAAGGCUCACCAAGUCUCAGAGCCUGUCUUAUGGCGAGACAGAAGCCAAGCAUGCCAGGAUCUGCUCGGCCACGAGAAGGCAGCAGAAUCCAAAUCGUUUGAAGAAAAUCCUAUGGCAUGCAAAGGCUCGCCAAGUCUCAGAGCAUGUCUUAUGGCGAGACAGAAGCCAAGCAUGCCAGGAUCUGCUCGGCCACGAGAAGGCAGCAGAAUCCAAAUCGUUUGAAGAAAAUCCUAUGGCAUGCAAAGGCUCGCCAAGUCUCAGAGCAUGUCUUAUGGCGAGACAGAAGCCAAGCAUGCCAGGAUCUGCUCGGCCACGAGAAGGCAGCAGAAUCCAAAUCGUUUGAAGAAAAUCCUAUGGCAUGCAAAGGCUCGCCAAGUCUCAGAGCCUGUCUUAUGGCGAGACAGAAGCCAAGCAUGCCAGGAUCUGCUCGGCCACGAGAAGGCAGCAGAAUCCAAAUCGUUUGAAGAAAAUCCUAAGGCAUGCAAAGGCUCGCCAAGUCUCAGAGCCUGUCUUAUGGCGAGACAGAAGCCAAGCAUGCCAGGAUCUGCUCGGCCACGAGAAGGCAGCAGAAUCCAAAUCGUUUGAAGAAAAUCCUAAGGCAUGCAAAGGCUCGCCAAGUCUCAGAGCCUGUCUUAUGGCGAGACAGAAGCCAAGCAUGCCAGGAUCUGCUCGGCCACGAGAAGGCAGCAGAAUCCAAAUCGUUUGAAGAAAAUCCUAUGGCAUGCAAAGGCUCGCCAAGUCUCAGAGCCUGUCUUAUGGCGAGACAGAAGCCAAGCAUGCCAGGAUCUGCUCGGCCACGAGAAGGCAACAGAAUCCAAAUCGUUUGAAGAAAAUCCUAAGGCAUGCAAAGGCUCGCCAAGUCUCAGAGCCUGUCUUAUGGCGAGACAGAAGCCAAGCAUGCCAGGAUCUGCUCGGCCACGAGAAGGCAGCAGAAUCCAAAUCGUUUGAAGAAAAUCCUAAGGCAUGCAAAGGCUCGUCAAGUCUCAGAGCCUGUCUUGUGGCGAGACGGAAGCCAAGCAUAGGAUCUGUUCGACCGCGCGAUGGCAAACCGAAUCCCAGGCAUUGAAAAAUCUUCAAAGGCAUGUGGCAAAACCAUGAGCCAAGCCGGAACCUGCUCGUCUAGACAAAGACAAGCAGAUUCUCAAACGAAAAAUAAUUCAUAAUUACAACACGAGAAAGUAAUCAACAACAUUUUUAUUAAUGUGUUAAUGGCUAACAGAGGGAAUAAAUUUCAUAAACGUUGUUCAUUACAAUACAAAAAGAAAUAUAUCAAAAAGAUGGUGGAUCAGUGAGCCGAGCAGCAUCGGUCGGCUGGACCUCCUCGGGUGCAGGGGGGUAUCACCAGUUGCGUCCGGGGGGGUGCUCGCCUCGCCAACAUUAGCAGGGACUGCACGAGGAGGAGAGUUUUCCUCCUCGAUCACGAUCGGCUCUACCCCCUCGGUAUCUUCCUUGGCCGCCUCCUCAUCCAUAUGCUGAGCAACACCAGCUGCAAGGUCAUCCAUCUUCAGGUCAGGGUGUUGCUUCCCGAGGACGGCCAUGAUGCAACGAUAGGAAUGCCGAAGUCCCUGGUCGUACUGGUUGUCGGCCUCCCUCUCCAAGUUCUCGACCUGAGCUCGGUGGUUCUCGAUCUGAGCUCGGUGGGAGUCGCGGAGAGAUUCGAGCUGAGCCUCAUACAUAGCCUUCUGCCUUUGCAGAUCCUCCUUGACCUUGGUAAGCUCCUCCUCAAGGGUAAUGGCUUUUGCUUGAGCAAGUGAUUCUUGCUCUAUCAGCUUCAGGUUCUCGAGAUUCAGCUCCCCUGCUUUCUUCUCGGCAGCGUCAGCUCUGGUCGUCGCCGACUGAAUGUCCCCCUUCAUCUUCCGGUCGUAGCGGCCCACCUUAGCCUUGUAAUAGGUGGUCAUGCAGCUGAGGUGGAAGGCGCUAUGCUGAAUGGCCCCCACCAGCUCACCCAAGGUGCGGCCAUCAAAGUCCUCCAGCUCCUCCUUGCUCACGAGUUUAGCUAACUCAUUGAGGUAAGGGACCAGAGGUUCUGCUCGGCUGUCAGGUAAGCGAGAUCGAGGCCCGACAGGAGGAGAAGAGGUAGCGGGAUCUGUGGCUGCUCCACUAGCUUCCCCAACUUUUACAGGAGCAGGAGGUAAAAUCUUCAAGGGUGGGGCCUGCUGCACGAUGUUGGCCCGCUUUGCAGUAGGGCCAUCCUUACUCUCGUCCCUCUUCGUGGUUGGAGGUCGAGAACGUUUUCGGGUCAGAGCCGCCAUCACAGCGUCCUCCAUCCUAUGGCCAGGAAGUAUCAAGCGAGACUCGAGCAAGUUGUAUGUACUUAACAGUUCCCGGCUCGAGCAGGAAUUGGCCAGUACCGCCUCGACCCGUUUGAGCUGGUCAGGUCCGAGCGGGAAGUGGACACCCCAAGAAACUACAACACAAACAAGACACUUGGUUAGAAACAAGCCAAUAAAACAAGAACAAGUAUGGAUACAAGGCAUCUGAAGCAAGCAGGCAACCUGGGACCGUGAAACGGGGUGGGACCCGAUAAUCCCUCCCGUCCAUUUGUGCGACCUGACCCCACGGACCCCCAGCAAAAAAGAACUUUCUCUUCCAAUUCCCGCCACCACCAGUAGGGAGGUCGGUUAUAGGUUUCCUGCUCUUGGUGCUAGAUUGGAAGUAGUACCAGCCGGCAUCUUUGGGGCUGCUCUUUAGCUGGUACAGGUGCUUCACCUCAUCGACCGUGGGCUCGCUUUGGCAAAAUCUGUCCCACAAAAUGAACAGACCAGAGAGCACUCUCCACCCAUUGGGAUUCAGCUGACCAGGAGCCAGAUUUAGCCCGUUAAGUAUCCGGGCAAAGUAAGGUUGCAAGGGACACCUCAGCCCGUACUUAAAGCUGUCCAGAUACAGGGUAACAUAUCCCCUAGGAGGGCGGCUGGGAGCAUCCUUCUUUCCUGGGACCUUGAGAAGUAUUUCGCCAGGGAUGCUAUACCUCAGCCGGAGGUCCUCGAGCUCAUCAAACGUGGUCGUGCACGUCAUGUAAUCAAUAGCGUAGUCCCGCGAUAGGGCUCUACCUCCUAUUCUACUCCUCCCUUCUGGUCGCGGCGCUCCUGAUGGGGACGCCUCACCAGAAUCAUCCCCUUGACCCUCACUCAAGGUGUUCUCCGAUCCAGAAGAUCCUUCUUCAUCGCUACUGUCGCUCGAGGAGGUUGUUUGGGGAGACAUCCUCCUAGCGCUAGUACCAACACUAGACCUAAUGGGCUCUAAGGGGAUCCCGGGGUCAAAAGCGGGAUCAGCGAGCAGACUAGGUAGGAAGUCCAACUCGUCGUCAUCAACCUCAAUGACCUUCUCUUUGCCUUUCGACAUUCCCUAAACUCUAACCACAACGCCACCAACUACUACCCAAACGAAAGAAAAAAGAAGUUAUCUAUAAACUAUCCGAGACCGAGGAGAGAGAAGUAAUACCUGAAGCACUGCUCCAAUCGGAGAAAGGCAAGGAUGGGGCCUUUGCGCCGGAACUUCUUUGCCGGAGAAACAGAGACGGAGACGGAGUGAAUGGUGAAUAUGCCGUUCGAGAGGAUUCGGCUUUCCAAAUGAGGACGGACUCUUGGGUUGCCAGCAUAUAACUGCGCCGAAUCCCGAGGAAUCUCGUAACCGUCGGUUUGAAAUUCAAAUGGAGGGCGGGAUUUCUGCCACGUCACCUCGUCCGCAAUUAAAUGCGACAUGACUCUUGGCAGCCUUUUCCAAUCCCACGCGAGCGAGUACUAUCGAGUUUCUACUGCUGGUCCACUACAUUACCCAACACCAGAAACUGGGGGACCGAUGUUUGGGAGAGAUACUGUUUGGGAUAAAUACGUCGACGAGACCAGGAAUGACGAGCAGAUAUCUGAUGGCGGAGUUCUGCGAACCGGUGUGUUCCGUAAAAGCCUGGUGCGCGGAAGAACAGGAGCAGAAAUAUCCUGCUCGUCCACGAUGUUGUCAUCCGCGAGGCCAAUUCCCUAUAAAAGGCAUAAGGCCACUCCGGCUAGAGGUCAAGAGGCGAGGAGACCCGGUCGACGGCAGUUGGCAAGACGUGCUCUCCAGCACGAGAAUCUAGGCACAACAGCCACGCUUUCCCCAGAACCGUGGCGUAACACGUAAGAUCUCACAGAACCAUGACAGCCACGCUUUCCCCAGAACCGUGGCGUAACACGCAAAGUCUCACAGAGCCAUGACAGCCACGCUUUCCCCUGCACCGUGGCGUAACACGCUAGAUCCCACGUUUGCCCAUAACGCAGCAGUUGGAGUCCCAUACCGUCGGGAAAAGGGCGGAAGACUGAGAUUCAGAGGAAGCCUAUAAAAAGGUAGCCAACGAAGGUAAAAGGGUUGGCAUUUUUGAGAUAGAAGAAAAAAACCACGAAAAAGCCAUAAGACCUGUGGCAAGCGUUCCCUGAACCUUCAUAUCUGACUUGAGCGUCGGAGGGUUUGCGCCGGGGGAACAACCGGCGUACUCUGACUUGUCUGUUUGUGCAGGGACAUCCGGAGAAGAAGCAUUACUAGGAGACCUCCUGGUCGUGGUGAAGUUGAUCGAGCAGAGAUCCUGGUCGUGGAACGAGGAGAACCGGAAUCUCGCAUCAACAAAAACAAUAUUCAGUUUCUUGAUGCUAAAUGGCAUUAGCAAGUCAAGGAUCCUUUGUAAAAGGAAGACAUUCAUCCUCAAAUUCUAAUUCAGUAAAUAUUUGCUUUGUCCUUAAUAUAAAUGCAUUUGGAAAGUUGCUCUCUUUCUCACCUGACGAUCCUCUUGCUACCAUAGGUUAAAAAAAGAAAAAAAAAGUUUUAAGAGUAGCUUUCAGUCCCAGAAUUAUUUGAGAGGCCGACUUUUCCCAGAAUUAUUUGAGAGGCUGCUGUUUGACUCAGUCAAUAAUUGCUCCUAUUGAUCUCCAUCGUCCAAUUGGAAUUUCAGUAGUGAGGCAGGAUUGAUGCUUCCAAAAUGAAGAGUAUUAAAAAAGGAAGCAAGAUUAUUUUCACCUUGUUUUCUUCGAACAUUCCAGGCAAGUCGGUCCUUUUUUUUAUUUUGCUCUUUUUUUUCCUUCGAUUUUUCUCUUGAUCUCCACCAUCAAUUUGUUCUUUUCUUCCAACUUUUCUCUUGAUAACUUCAUCAGCGUACAUUAUACGCUUGCGUUUAAAAGGUUCAGUAGGCUUGCGACUGUGAACUGAAGCAGCAAACUGAGUGCAAACCACACUGUUUUUUAGGCAGAAAACGCGCAGGGGAACAGUGAGUACAGCAUGAUGUACAUCUCCCAAUUUGAGAUAUAAGAUCCCCUCUGUUUCAGCCCUGGCUUUGUAGCCAACACGUUCAAUCUUCAAAAGCCAAAAAAAAUUGGCUUCCAUCCCAGUUAAAGUAAAUUUAUCGUGUAAAUUUCCUCAAUAGCCGUCAUAGCAAGUGCUCGGAACCCCAGGUAAAUCAGUCCUUACAAUAGCUUUACCAAAAAAAAGAAAAAUUGAAAGACAUUGAUGUUUUCAAUGCCAAUGAAUUGUACAUGCAUAGCACGUCUAUACAAGUAUAGAAGAAGCUUUUAGUAUGUAUUUCAAAUGUCAUACCAAUUCAAGUCGGUGACAAGAAUCAUGGGAGCAUUCACAGGCAUCAUUUUGAUGAUCCUCUCUAUUUUACUCUUGGUCUUGUCUGCCGCGUCAGCAUCUAUGUCAACAGAUCGUAAAACGUAUAUUAUCCACAUGGACAAGUCGGCAAUGCCAGCUCCAUUUUCCACCCACCACCACUGGUACAUGUCCAUUCUUUCAUCCCUUUCUUCACCUGAUGGUGAUGCCCCAACCCAUCUCUACACCUACAACCAUGUCAUGGAUGGAUUCAGUGGCGUGUUAUCGCAGACGCACCUCGACAAACUCCAGAAAAUGCCAGGUCACCUUGCCACGUACCUGGAAACAUUUGGCCACCUGCACACCACCCACACCCCAAAAUUUCUCGGCCUAAAGAAACAAGCUGGGUUAUGGCCAGCUGCAGGUUUUGGUAGUCACGUUAUUGUGGGUGUUAUUGAUACUGGAGUUUGGCCAGAGAGUCCGAGCUUUAAAGAUGACGGCAUGCCUCCAGUGCCUGAGCGAUGGCGCGGUGCCUGUGAAGUGGGUGUUGAGUUUAAUGCUUCUCAUUGCAACAGAAAACUGAUAGGAGCACGCUCAUUCAGCAAAGGGCUGAAGCACUAUGGCUUGAACAUAUCAACAACAUUUGAUUAUGAUUCUCCGAGAGAUUUCUUGGGUCAUGGGACUCAUACAUCAUCAACAAUAGCCGGCAGUCGUGUUCAAAAUGCUAAUUACUUCGGCUACGCUGAAGGGACUGCAAUUGGAGUUGCACCAAUGGCGAGGAUUGCAAUGUACAAAAUAGCGUUCUACAAUGAUACUCUUAAGGCAGCAGCUGUUGAUGUUUUGGCUGGCAUGGAUCAAGCCAUAGCUGACGGUGUAGAUGUCAUGUCAUUGUCCCUGGCUUUCCCAGAGACAACAUUUGAUGAGAACCCAAUAGCCAUUGGAGCUUUUGCAGCAUUGAAGAAAGGAAUUUUUGUUGCCUGUGCAGCAGGAAAUUCAGGACCACGUCCAUACUCCAUACUAAAUGGAGCACCUUGGAUUACUACAGUUGCUGCAGGAACUGUUGACAGAGAGUUUGCAGCCUACGUCACCCUUGGCAAUGAAGAGCUAUCAGUUCUUGGAAAAUCUGUGUACCCGGAGAAUCUGUUUGUCUCCAGGGAACCUAUAUACUUCGGAUAUGGAAAUAGAUCCAAAGAAAUUUGUGAAGGUAACUCAACAGACCCUAGAGCAGUUGCAGGCAAAUAUAUCUUUUGUGCAUUUGACUAUAAAGGUAACAUAACCGUAAGUCAGCAAUUGGAGGAAGUGCGCAGAACUAGAGCCGCCGGAGCUAUCAUCAGUGCAGACUCAAGGCAAAAUCUGUUUCCCGACGACUUUGACAUGCCUUUCGUUACAGUAAACCUGAAUAACGGAGAGUUAGUGAAGAAGUACAUAAUCAAUGCGGAUAAUGCAACGGUUAGUAUCAAGUUCCAGAUCACGAUAUUGGGCACCAAGCCAUCUCCACAAGUAGCCAAUUUUUCAUCACGAGGGCCUUCUCUUCGAUCUCCAUGGAUUCUAAAACCUGAUAUAUUGGCUCCAGGAGUUGAUAUCUUGGGGGCAUGGGUUCCCAACAGGCCUAUAGCUACAAUUCGUGAUCUUGGUAAGCUACUCACCGAAUAUGCUCUCGAAUCCGGCACAUCAAUGUCUUGCCCUCAUGCAGCUGGUAUAGCCGCGCUGCUUAAAGCCACCCACCGUGAGUGGAGUUCAGCUGCCAUCCGUUCAGCAAUGAUGACAACAGCUGAUGUUCUUGAUAAUGCUUAUGAUAUGAUCACUGACAUAUCAACCGGAGCUGCUGGAACUCCUCUUGAUUUCGGUGCAGGGCAUAUAAAUCCCAACAAGGCCAUGGAUCCAGGACUUGUGUAUGAUAUUGAGAUCCAGGACUAUCUCAACUACUUGUGUGCAAUGAACUACACUAGUCAACAGAUUCGAAUUGUCACAGGGACAUCGGAUUUUACAUGUGAGCAUGGCAAUCUGGAUCUUAAUUAUCCAUCAUUUAUCAUCAUCUUGAACAACAGCAACACUGCUAGCUUCACCUUCAAGAGGGUAUUGACAAAUGUAGCCGAUACCAGGUCAACUUAUACUGCAGCAGUGAAGGCUCCAGUGGGUAUGACAGUGACUGUGGAACCAGCAACAUUAUCCUUUGCCGGAAAGUUUAGCAAAGCUGAGUUCAAUUUGACUGUG
rnacentral:lncRNA from 1 species